UACGGAGGAUGCGAGCGUUAUCCGGAUUUAUUGGGUUUAAAGGGUGCGCAGGCGGCGAGUUAAGUCAGCGGUAAAAGCCCGGGGCUCAACCCCGGCCCGCCGUUGAAACUGGGGAUCUAGAGUGUGCGAGAGGUAUGCGGAAUGCGUGGUGUAGCGGUGAAAUGCAUAGAUAUCGCGCAGAACUCCGAUUGCGAAGGCAGCGUACCGGCGCCACACUGACGCUGAGGCACGAAAGCGUGGGGAUCGAACAGG
rnacentral:rRNA from 1 species